rnacentral:sRNA from 1 species
AAAAUUAUUUAAAAAAAAAAAGGAAUUGAAAUUAAAAAACAAAUUUAAAUUUGAAAAUUGUUUGAUUGCAGUGAAAUUUGUUUUGUGUUUUUUUGUUAUAGUCAUUGUUAAGCUUGUCUCUUAUUGCACUGGAGAGUCCUGUUUCUUCCCGAUGAAGGACUCCAUCGGGUCAAUCCUUUACGUACAACCGGCUGCCAUGGGAUUGUUGAUUUAAAUCGGCGGACCAGAAAUCGUGAUCCGAGUAGCCAAAGCAUUCAACUUAAUGGUCGUAAGCUGGACGGACAUCCUGCAUGGAGUCAAAAAAAAAAAGCAAAAAUUUGAUUUUAUAAGCCACGAUAUUAUUUUGUAAAGAAAAUUGUUAAAUCCAUGAAACCUAUCUGUUUUAGUAGCAGUGUGUUGUAUACUCAGGCGGCAGAGGUUGUCGAGAAGUUUCCCCUGUACCUUAAUGGAAUGAAUGUUCAUAAGCAAAUUUACAUUUUGCAGAAACCAUUAAAUGGUCCAGAAAUUUUACUCCCAAAUAUUUUUAAAUGAGUUUGGGGCUUUGUAAAAUUGCCGACAUUUCCCCCCAAAAUCUGUGUUUUCCUUUACCAAAUACCUCUUGAAAACUACGUUUUAUUAUCAAAAAAUGCUAUUCCCACUAAUUUUAUACAAGAUUGUAAAGACUUGUUGUAUGUGAAGAUGUGAAUAAAAGAAAAUUAAACUAAA